GAAAUGCGAUAAGUAAUGUGAAUUGCAGAAUUCAGUGAAUCAUCGAAUCUUUGAACGCACAUUGCGCCCGCCAGUAUUCUGGCGGGCAUGCCUGUUCGAGCGUCAUUUCAACCAUCAAGCCCCCCGGCUUGUGUUGGGGACCUGCGGCUGCCGCAGGCCCUGAAAAGCAGUGGCGGGCUCGCUGUCACACCGAGCGUAGUAGCAUACAUCUCGCUCUGGGCGUGCUGCGGGUUCCGGCCGUUAAACCACCUUCGUGACCCAAGGUUGACCUCGGAUCAGGUAGGAAGACCCGCUGAACUUAAGC
rnacentral:misc_RNA from 1 species